rnacentral:rRNA from 1 species
GACGAACGCUGGCGGCGUGCUUAACACAUGCAAGUCGAACGGAAAGGCCCUGCUUUUGUGGGGUGCUCGAGUGGCGAACGGGUGAGUAACACGUGAGUAACCUGCCCUUGACUUUGGGAUAACUUCAGGAAACUGGGGCUAAUACCGGAUAGGAGCUCCUGCUGCAUGGUGGGGGUUGGAAAGUUUCGGCGGUUGGGGAUGGACCCGCGGCUCAUCAGCUUGUUGGUGGGGUAGUGGCUUACCAAGGCUUUGACGGGUAGCCGGCCUGAGAGGGUGACCGGCCACAUUGGGACUGAGAUACGGCCCAGACUCCUACGGGAGGCAGCAGUGGGGAAUAUUGCACAAUGGGCGGAAGCCUGAUGCAGCAACGCCGCGUGCGGGAUGACGGCCUUCGGGUUGUAAACCGCUUUCGCCUGUGACGAAGCGUGAGUGACGGUAAUGGGUAAAGAAGCACCGGCUAACUACGUG